rnacentral:rRNA from 1 species
UACGAAGGGGGCUAGCGUUGCUCGGAAUCACUGGGCGUAAAGCGCACGUAGGCGGCUUACUAAGUCAGGGGUGAAAUCCUGGAGCUCAACUCCAGAACUGCCUUUGAUACUGGUGAGCUUGAGUCCGGAAGAGGUGAGUGGAAACUGCGAGUGUAGAGGUGAAAUUCGUAGAUAUUCGCAAGAACACCAGUGGCGAAGGCGGCUCACUGGUCCGGUACUGACGCUGAGGUGCGAAAGCGUGGGAGCAACAGGGAUUAAGAAACCCGUGAGCCCAGAACCACG